AGUACGCAGAAACAGCAGCAAUACCCUCAUCCACCUAUGCUUGCAUCGCAGCUUCUUGCGUUUCGUGAAUCUGCGACACGGCCCAACUCACGUGAUCAUAAGUGAUCCCGGAGGGCAGUUCAUCACCGACGCUGUAGAAGACCUGCUUCGUCUGUGCGUUGUCCAUUUCCGACACUCAAUGCCGUAUCGUGCACAGACCUAUGGUCUUGUUGAACGGAAGAACCGAAAGCUGAUAAACAUGCUAUUACGUAUUCUCUGACUACAGAAACACAGAGGUUGAAGAAGUAGAGGAUGACAACGUUCCGUGCGACGAGCAGCAGGGUUUACACGGCUAUCUUCGCGAUCAAUCAUCUAUGUCAUGCUUAAUCAGUAAUUAAACACGCGAUAACCCGUAACAAUGCUAUUACGGGGGCGAAAUGCCAUAUCACGCCUAUAAACUACCCUAACAAGUCUGACACGCGUCCGAUGUAUGUCACAUACCAAACGCCCUGAUAUGCUGACACUGUGAGGCCACCAAUAUCGUGAGGACCACAAGUGCGCUGUACGUCGCGCCCUAUGCGGUGGCGCACACCACGCCAGGGACUAGGAGUGUAAGAAACUACUCAAGCCCAAAGAUACCACUAAAUAAAAAACAUGUAGGCUAGCCCAGGUGUCAAUGUCACUACGACAGAGUAAACAUUGCUGUGGCGAGUUCUAAAUAGCCAGCACAUAAAGAUGUUUGUUUAGGCUGCUAGAUAAACGUCUACAGUGACGCAAGCUGUCCGCCUGAAAUGAAAUAAUACAGGAUAUCUUUCUGUAGACGAAACAAUUCUGGGAUGUGGUUUUCAUAUGUGCCUUUUCUUUAAAAAUGGAAUGCAGCCUAACUCGUUGCAUCUUUUUGCAUGUCAAACUCGUUUCUAGGGUCAACGGCUACGACGCACGCAAAGAAGUAAAAUGACGAUAUGGCAGAGUGUGUUGUUGCUUGCAACAGCAAGCUAUGUGUCGUCUAUUUGUGACGAAUGCUGGCGAGACAAUGAAUGGAAAAUUAUAUGCUACGAUUAUGAAGUGCCGGAAGAUUUGUGCCCUGGUGUUCCCGCGACAUAUUGCAGGAAAAAGAGGCAGCGAUGUGUUUGCGGCUGCAAAUAUGGAACGUAUCGGAGGAUGGACUGGGCAUGUGUGCCGUAUAGAGAAUGCGAACCCAGGACGAUGGAACCAAUGCCCCUGCUGACGAGCAAAGAAGACCUCAUCAUGGUGGGCGUUUCGGGAGACAUGUACCGAUGGGCUCCUGUCAGCUGCUUCAAAUCUGGAUUUAUUGGCUAUAAGAAUAACAAACUCCAGCGCACCAUACAAUACGAAACCGUUCGCUACCCAAAGUGAUGUUACAUUGGAGGUCGAGAUGCACAACAACGGAAAGGCAGCUGAUAUAAAGAUCAAUCCGGGACGAACACCACCUAAACACGUGAACCCGAAAUACGAAGUUUUGUAUGCUUCGAAACACUGCAUUAUUGUCGGUAACGUGCCGCAGCCAACACUUAGAACAUACUGCACCUACUGGGUCAAGAAGAGCGAUGUGAAGAAUCGCCACUGGGCUUGUGACUUCAUAUUAAACCAUUACUGCCGAAGCCUACAAAUUGUCAUUAAGGAUACAAAGGAUUGUUGGCCUGAAGGCAAUGCAUAAAGAUAAAAAUGAACUACACCAACACAAUUGACGAUGAUGUUCAAUGUCAGCCAAAAGCCGAAAGCUUCUAGUUGACAAUUCAAUUUAUUAAAGAAUGGCGCGACGAAGGUGCUUAUUUGUUGAAAUGGGGAUGUCGCGGAAACGCUUCUUGCUUCGUUGCGUAAUUUGGAACAGAACAUCUGCAGCAGUCAUUAACUUACAAGCUGAAUCGCCACAUGUGGGCUAACCUGAGAAGUCUGGCGCUAUUUACUGGAACACUUUAGGGAGUACGCCUAAGUGCCUUGUGAGCUUUGAGACCGCCAUCACGGUACGCAACUGCUAUCCUCCUUUACCAUCGCGGUAGCUUUGUAGCACUUAGCUACGUUUGAGUGGAUGUCUCAUUUUCCCUUUAUUAAUUACUCCCCUCCACCUUGCGGGCUUCCGCAAAACUAUUACGUCAAACUGUUGCCUUUGCUUCUGAGUUGUGGAUAAAUUCGACUUCGCCUGCCAUAUGCUAGCCGCCUGGUUAGCUCAGGUGGUCGAUCAGUUGCCCCGGAAAGGCGGUCGUCCCAGGUUCGAGUCCCUGACCAGGAUGAAUUUCUCCUCAACUGCGAAGCUUUUCUUUCGAGGAACCUGUAUGGGUUUCCGUAGUAGCACUUAGCUACAUUUGGGUGGAUGUCUCAUUUUCCCUUUAUUACUUUUCUCCACCUUGCGGGUUUUCGCAGAAAUAUUGCGUCAAUCUAAACCUCAUCCCCUUGUUUCCCUAAACCUUCUCCCUUUGCGCAUGUUAUUAAAUCAUAAGCUGUUGCUAAUAAUGUUCCGCCUCAUAAAUACGGAGCUAGGUAUUGAAACCUUUAUCCGUACUGACCUUACUAAUAAUAGUAACAGAAGGUUUUCCGCACGUCACAAUUUGGUCCUUCCUAAAACUCGAAUUAACUAUGGAAAAUUUACUGUCAUGUUUUCAUUGUGUAUUUGGAAUGUUUUCAUUGUGCAUUGUAGAAUUCUAUUCCGUCCGAUAUCCAAUCAUGUGCAUUUGAAGCCUUCAAUCCCAAAGCUAAGGCGUAUUAUAUUAACUCUUUACCGAACUUCUAGUAUAUUUUGUGCGAUGUAAACGUUAUUAAAUAUAUUUGUAUGGUACUGUUCCUAAUUUUCUUUUUAUAUAUAUUUUUUUAAUUUUAUUCUGUCCCUGUCAACACUUUACAGCAUUGCUGGUUCCCCAGGCUACCACCGCCUAAUUCUGUAUUAAAACACUUUUUUUCUUCCCUAAACCUUCUCCCCUUGCGCAUGUUAUUCAAUCAUAACUUGUUGCUAAUAAUGUUCCGCCUCAUAAAUACGGAGCUAGGUAUUGAAACUUUUGUCCGUACUGACGUUACUAAUAAUAAUAACACAAGGUUUUCGCGUUGCAUAUUCCACACACUGCUACCACACUUUUGUAUUCAAAGCUCUGCUUUUCUUUUCUUCUCCUUUUUAUCCAGUCUUUUUUGUUUUUGUUUUUGCUGACAAACACAACCUUUAAGUAAGUAAGUAAGUGUUUUAUUUACAGUAAGCAAUAUACAUGUAUGAUGUAGCCUGCUACUGUUGCCGCAAUUGUACUAACCUCCAUUUGUUUCCUGUAUAGGAGGUCCCCCUCGAGAGUUUUUACUUCGGGACCUCCGAUUGUGCAGUUAUACUUCACCUGUUUGUACUACUUUUUCUACUGCUGAUGAAAAUAAAUUCAACCUCAACUUCA